AACGAACGCUGGCGGCAGGCUUAACACGUGCAAGUCGAACGGUAAGGCCCUUCGGGGUACACGAGUGGCGAACGGGUGAGUAACACGUGGGUGAUCUGCCCUGCACUUCGGGAUAAGCCUGGGAAACUGGGUCUAAUACCGGAUAGGACCACUGCCUGCAUGGGUGGUGGUGGAAAGCUUUUGCGGUGUGGGAUGGGCCCGCGGCCUAUCAGCUUGUUGGUGGGGUGAUGGCCUACCAAGGCGACGACGGGUAGCCGGCCUGAGAGGGUGACCGGCCACACUGGGACUGAGAUACGGCCCAGACUCCUACGGGAGGCAGCAGUGGGGAAUAUUGCACAAUGGGCGCAAGCCUGAUGCAGCGACGCCGCGUGAGGGAUGACGGCCUUCGGGUUGUAAACCUCUUUCAGCACCGACGAAGCGCAAGUGACGGUAGGUGCAGAAGAAGCCCCGGCUAACUUCGUGCCAGCCGCCGCGGUAA
rnacentral:rRNA from 1 species